rnacentral:rRNA from 1 species
AACGGGUGAGUAAUGCGUGACCAACCUGCCCCAUGCUCCAGAAUAGCUCUUGGAAACGGGUGGUAAUGCUGGAUGCUCCAACUUGACGCAUGUCUUGUUGGGAAGUGUUUAGUGGCAUGGGAUGGGGUCGCGUCCUAUCAGCUUGUAGGCGGGGUAAUGGCCCACCUAGGCUUCGACGGGUAGCCGGCCUGAGAGGGCGGACGGCCACAUUGGGACUGAGAUACGGCCCAGACUCCUACGGGAGGCAGCAGAC